CUCGUCCCAAAAAUGCUCUCAAACCCCAUCUGAACCCUAGCCCUUCUCCUGCUCUAUUUCACCGAUGACCAUGUCUUUUCAAGCUUAAGGCACCUGUACUCACCUCUCCCUAUCUUCUAUGGCUCUCUUAUUAGAAGAUCGGAGCCCUAUCUCAAAGAUUUUCGACUCAAAGGUCCUUCUACUUGAGUUUUACAGCCGUCUCUGGUCUCUCUCCGGCAAGCCUUGAUGUUGUGAGUCCAUCGUCGACUCAGAAUCAGUCCAUUCCAGGCUUACUCGUUUCUCUAUGGUUCUUUAUCUGAAACCCUAAUUUUCAAGGUUUUCUCUGUGUUUAUCAUUACGGUCUGCUCUAGAUCCUAUUUGUUUUCUAAAGUUCCUAAGUAUUUCUCAAAUUUCUCCGCAGACUUUGUUUUCAAACUUUUCGUCUUCCUAAAAUUUAGGGUUUCUUCGAUUUCUUUGCUUUAUUUGCUCUAUUGUGAUUUUUUUCUAAUUUUUACUGUGAUUUUUUAGUAUUUUCUACUAUGGAUCCUAUGUAUUUUCCUUAAUGUGGUGUUUCUAGGGUUUUCAACUUAAAUGUUUUACUGUGUUCUCUGUUUUUCCUUAUGAUGUUCUUCCUAAGCUUAUCUUCACAUAUGUUUCUUCUUUACACUCGAGAGGUGCUGGAAACCCUAGGUUUUUUGUGAUUUUCCAUUUCUUUCUAUGUAAUUGCUUGCUACAUGUUUAAUUUCUAAACCCUAGCAUGCUUCGGAUUUCUUGCUUAUGUGUUUCUGUGCUUUGAGUACACGACUAUUCUACUAAUUUCAGCAUUGCAUGUUCGAAUUUGUACACCUCUUUAUAUAGUCAUUUUCCCCCUUUUGAAUAACCCUAAUUUUAGAAAAUUGAUUUCUUACAAACUUAUUAGAUUCUUUAAUUUGGACCGGCUCUCCGACUAAGUUCAGUAUCAAUUCGUAUCUCAAAUUCCUUAAUUUUCUCUGUGAUUGACUUACCUUAUUUGUUUAAACCAUGUGAAUUUCAAAACUUUAUAUGUACUUACCCUGUAUCUUAUGACUAAUCCUUGAUUUUCUUCCCCAAAAUAAACUUGGGUUUAUUUACCUUGAGUCUGGUUCCUUAAUUAGAGGAAACCCUUUCCCUAAUUGAUUAUGAUUGAUGCUAAGUUAUNNNNNNNNNNNNNNNNNNNNNNNNNNNNNNNNNNNNNNNNNNNNNNNNNNNNNNNNNNNNNNNNNNNNNNNNNNNNNNNNNNNNNNNNNNNNNNNNNNNNNNNNNNNNNNNNNNNNNNNNNNNNNNNNNNNNNNNNNNNNNNNNNNUAACACACGAACAAUCCUAAGUUCACUCACAUAAAACUCUCUCUUCUCUUCUCUGUUCUUCUUUGUUACUUGUUCUAUUGCUUGAGUUUAGCCGGCUGAAAGCCAAGGCUAAUCUAUAAGGUCUCACCUUCCCUAUUUGCUCUACUGUUCGAGUUUACAACUGGUAGGUCUCUGAUUUACAUAUUAACUCCAAACUACAUGUUUACUUACCCCUUCUUCCAUGUCUGUUUAUGUUCAGUAUGCAGUUAAAUUUCAGCAUGUACAUCCCUACCCUAUAUCCCGAUGCUUUUCAUGCUAUAUGUUUGUAUGACCCCAUGUCUGUUUAUGUUCAGUAUGUAGUUAAAUUUCAGUAUGUACAUCCCUACCCUAUAUCCCUAUGCUUUUUAUGCUAUAUGUUCGUAUGAGUACAUUUCUGUACAUCCCUUUUCCAAAUUGUUGUAGUUUAAUUCAGCUUGUUACAAAUGUUCUUAUGUGACCCCAUUCCCUUAACCCCCUAUUUGUGUGUGAGUUUCUUUUUAGACUAGGAUGGCACUCCAUUGCUAUUCCUAGUUUAAAACCAGGUUGCUCUCAGCCUAUGCUCAAAGUAAUCCCAUUCCUUAACCCCUAUUAUGUGUGAGCUUGACACGUGUCUGUUGGUGUUCUAAUCACCAUACAGGCCCUAGUCUGACUUGUCUCAAGUCUGCUCCUAUUUGUUAAACCAUGUAAAGGGUCAGGGGUGUGCCAGUCCCAUUCAUGGCUAGGUAUGACCACCUUUUUCAUUGGUCUUCCUCUAAUCCUUCACUUUUACACUUACUCCUACUUCUUUAAGUCCUACCCCCUCUAUUAAGCCAUGCUUAGGGACCCUCGAGUCUCCUCUGAACUUGGUGGCCUGAGUGCUGGUAGUUCCACACUUUGCACUACUUUAAUUAUUUAGGGUGUAUGCAUUGCCUGGGUUUCCCCUAAAAGCACUUGAAAUUUUGAAACACUCUAAGAGAAAGCCUUGAAAUUUGGAGCCUGGAUUUGGUAAAAAUGCAUAUGUUGGACAUUAAGGUUGCUUUUUGCUUCCUCGGGUCUGUUUAGCUUUGAUGCAUUUACUUCCUUAGUCUUUUCCUUUCUUUUAUGUCAACCAUCUUUGUACAAAGAACUUGGGGAUACAGUGAAAAGGGUAUGGGAGGGGUUUACAUUAUUGCAUCAAUCAAUGGGUAGAAAUCAUGCCUAUAGAUUUUCAACAUUACUUUUCAUAUAGAAUUCAUGCCUAUAGGUUUUCAAUAUUGCAUCAAUCAAUGGGUAGAAAUAAUGCCUAUAGGUUUUCAAUAUUGCAUCUCACUUAGAAAUCAUGCCUAUAGGUUUUCAAUAUUCUUCUCAUUUAGAAAUUACGCCUAUAAGAAUUCAAUAUUGCAUCUCAUAUAGAAAUCAUGCCCAUAAGUUUUCAAUAUUGCAUCUCAUAUAGAAAUCAUGCCUGUAGGUUUUCAAUGUUGCUUCUUAUUUAGAAAUUAUGCCUAUAAGUUUUCAAUAUUACAUCACACCUAGAAACCAUGCCUAUAGGAAUUGCAUAAAAACGCUAGGGAAACAGUAGGCCCCUUUAAACUUACUAAAAGUAAUAAAAUCAAUAUAUAGAUAUCCUGCCUAUUGGGUUCAAUCAUCGCCUUGUUAAACGUUUUCAAUAUUGUUUAUCUGAAAGGUGUCUAUUUGAAAUUAGGCCAAGUCUGCCCUUUUACGUUAUUCUGAACAUGUAGAGUCUUUUUUUCUAAAUCCCAAAUCUGCAGAACUAAAUUUAGCCUGCCUAAGUUUACACUCCAAGUCUCUCUUUUGAGAACUUUCUUUAAGCAGUUUGUAAGCCAUUUCUGAACUUUCGGCAGACUCUAAAUCCCUCUUUACAGAUCUAUGCCUGAAACUAACAUUUUUCUCUAAAAUUACUGCUCUUAAAUCAUGUCAAGUUCUAAUAACCAGACCUGAGGGCCCAAAGCAGAUUUGUUAUCCAGCUUCACGUGUUAAACUAAUCUAUUCGCGAUCAGCUUUAAUAUUAAGACCAAAUCAACAUUUGUAAGCCAUGCUAAACUAAUUGUUGUUAUGGUUUACGGGCACGUGUUAAACUAAUCUAUUCGCGAUCAGCUUUAAUAUUAAGACCAAAUCAGUAUUUGCAAGUCAUGCUAGACUAAUUUCUAUUAUGGUUUACGGGGUUUUGUAUGAGCCUUUGAAUGUCUUAUUUGUAUUCCCUUAUAUGCUAUUUGUUUUGGAUUGACGCUUUAGUGUUUUACCUUUGAAACUUCACAUAUAUCAUAUCUUUCUCUUCCCUUUUUAGGAUUAGAAGUCCUAAUACCCCAGGACUAAUAGAUUGGGACCGGUACUAGCAUGCAAUAAGUAAACGAGACCAAACGCGUUUAAGUACCUUAACGGGGUGGGAAGGUUGGGAUGGGUACUAGCAUGCAAUAAGUAAACGAGACCAAAACGUUUAAGUACCUUAACGGGGAGGGAAGGGUAGAAUAUGGAGAUGAUGACCGGUGCGCUCAUACCAUAGGCGACCCCUCUUUGAGGAGUGUGUGCGGGGUAUUGUACCGAUGUGACCUAUAUUAUAGUCAAACAUAGGAUCUUUUUCUCUUUUGCUUGCUUUAUUUAAAUGGUUUUCUAAAGUAAUGCUUUUCAAAUUAAUUCUCUCUUCUACUUUUAUUUAACUCAUACCCUUCCCCUUUUUAAAAAUUCUCAAGUUGCUUGAAUUCUUUAUAUGUGAUCCUUAUUUGUUUAUUUGCCUUAUUUCCUAUUAAAGUCACAAUUAAUACGGCCGGGAACCACACCAGCGGAUCUUGAGGUGUCUAACACCUUCCCCUCGAGAUAAUCUCAAGCCCUUACCCGAACAUUGGUUUUCGUUCAAAAAUACUCUCUUCUUCUUAAAAGUGUCAUAAUGCACUAUAAUUAUUAGGUGGCGACUCUUCAAAUUGCAUAACCCGAUUCCCAAACGGGAAUAAGAGUUGUUUUGUCCAUAAUAUCGUAAAGCCAAUAUUUCUUCUUUUAGUUGAAAAGGGGGCAUUGACAGAUAUUUGAACCAAUAACUGGGCAGAACACGAUUGUCCAUGCCUAGUUUGAUAUCAAUCUCAAAUGAUUUCAAACAGACAUGCAUUAUAGCCAAUGAGGGUCCCCAUUUUUGUGAUGUAUACCUACUGGGAAACGUUAGUAUUUUAUUACAACAUACUCCAUUUGAUCCCAAAAUUAUGUGUAAAUAACCAUGCUUCCACAGUUUAAACAUAUUCUUCCUAGCUUCCAUUCUUUUGCCUACUAUUAGUACUCAUUACAUGGGAAUGAGCAUUAAAUGCUAAUACCACCCUUAGAAUUUGUAACCAAUAGUAGGGUAUGGAUACAGUAACUUUUCCUGCAAAAAAUCACAAAGUUAGCAAUAUAACUGGUCAUCGCAGCCUUCUCCCUAAGGAUUUGGAUGUGAUGUUCUGCAGCAUCCUGUUAUUCUGCAGUCAUUUUUGCCUGGCUCCUUGUAUGUAGGGAAGCAAAUGAGUUGAAACUUGAUUUGUUCCAACAACUUGCUCUAUUCCACCUGUGCACAUCUUUGAUUUUACUCCAUCUGAUGCACACCUUUGUGAUUUGUGAUGUAUAUAUGCAGUCAGAUCCAUGAAGGUUGCUUCUAUUGUUUUUGAUAUGUUCAUUUGUUCUCGAUAGUAGUGUAGGAACGCCCCAGCAGUCCUUGAUUGUCUCGAUCAAGAGUACCUGCCCACACCAGAAUGGGGCAACAGAAUACUCUUCAUUGAUUCUAUGAUUUUGUCUACCUUUAUUUCCUCCCAUUGGAUUGAGUGCAUAGCACUAAUACCACCAACUGGGCAUCCAUAUAGAGUAGGGCAUCGCUGAAUACACCACCAGCAGGUUUUGAGCAUGAUCAUCAUAUGAGUCCCUUUCUGUCAGUCCCUUUUUCCUUGUCUUCUCACAUUCCCCUUUCCUUACUUCCUUACAACUGAAGCUCUGAUGUAUGGACAUUGUAUUUUAUCGCUAUUCACCAAUUGCCUUCCUUUUGUAUCUAGAUCCUCAAACGAAUGACAUUCUACAGGCCCAAAAUCCAAUGCAUAGUUUGCCAUGUGAUCAGCUAACAUAUUGCCUUCUCUAAAAGUGUGUGUUAUUAUUAAAUUGCCAUUGCUCAUCAGUUAUCUAAUCUCCUCCACAAUUUCCCCUAUAGCCCAAGGAGGUUUCCACUCUCCAGUUAUUACAUUCUUUAGGAGCAUUGAGUCACUAUGUAAGUCUAUCAAGACAUAGUCAUUGUUCAGGCAAAACGUCAGAGCUUCAUGUAUAGAUGUUUCUUCUGCCACUGUGUUUGACGCUUCAGGAAUCUCCUUGCCACAAGCAUACACUACAUCUCCAUCUUCAUUCCUCAACACAUAUCCAAUAGAACUUCUACCUGGGUUACCUCUAGCUGCUCCAUCGGUAUUAACUUCGAUCCACCCUUGGCUAGGUAGUUCCCACAACACUUUAGUAUACUUCAAAAUAGGAGUAUAAUCCUCCAUCAUCUUAAACAUAUCUGGCCAUCGAGGGGGAACACUUUGAAUUCCUGGUUUCCUUAGUUUGAUUAAGGACUUAAUGGUCAAAGAUACCUGAUAUAUUACUCUAUUAACUGUGACUGCAUCCCCAUAUUUAUAACUAUUGAUUCUAUUCCAUAAUUCCCAUACGAUCACAUAAGGGCGAGCUUGAAUAAUAGGCUUCAGUCUCUGAGAAACAUCUGCAGUCCAAAACCUAACAAGUGCUUGAUGCAAAGUGAUUCCUUCCACUGAAAUACCUGCAUACCCAUAAAAUCUUCCAUACUAUAUUAGCUGCAUAGGAAGUAAAGAAAAGGUGCUGCAUAGUCUCUUCCUUUGGUUCAGUACAACACCAACAUUUGGAUUUCAUUAGAUAUCCUAUUCUUCUGAAAACAUCAUCAAGAGGCAAUUUAUUUUUCCACAGCUUCCACAUAAAAAAAGCAAUCUUGAAAGGUAGCCCUUUGACCCAAUAUUCUUGUAUGCAUUACAUGGUUCUUGUCUUUUCCUUAAGUAUUCCCAGCUUGAUUUAACUGAAAACUCACCCCUAGUUUCCAACAUCCAAACAAGUUUAUCCAAAGUCUCAUUUGACACAGGUGGUUGUAUGUUUUCCAGAAUGUGUCUAGCAAGAUCUUCAGGCAAAAUUUCCUUAAUCUUAUCCUCAUCCCAUGUAAUGACCCGACCCGUCAUCUCAGGUAUCUCUGCCUCGUUUUCCCUGUUUUAUGCUUCUAUAUGUUUCAUUAUAUGUGUUUGGUGAAUUUGAAGUAAUUCGGACAGAGUUUGGGUUGAAAUGAGACAAUUAGUCCCUUUAUGAGAAGGUUAGUUUGGAAAAGUCAACCGAAUAUUGACUAACGCGUUAGAGGACUCAAAAUGGAUUUUCGACGAUUCGACUAGUUUGGGUGGUUAUUUAUGACUUAGGAGCACAAUCGGAACUGAAUUUGGAGGUUUGAUAUAGAUUUUGGCUUAAAUUGGCUAAGUUAGAAUUUUGGCGAAGUCCGGUUGAUAGGUGAGAUUUUGAUUAGGGGGUCGGAAUGGAAAUCCGACGGUUGCAGUACCUCUGUAAGAUGAUUUUGGAUAUGCCUGCAAAUUUUCAGAGCAUUCGGAGGUGUUUAGGAAGGGUUUAGGAUUAAAUGUGUGUUUCGGAAGUUUUAGAAGAACCUAGGCUUGAAUCCGAUGUAAAUUUGGUGUUUGAUGUUUGUUUUGGUGUUUUGAGAGUGCAACUAAGUUUGAAUAAUCAUAUGUGAUGUUUCAGUAUGUUCGUAUGCGGUCCCGAGGAGUUCAGGUAAGUUUCGGAUAGGUUUGGGCUGUGUUGUGCUCGUUUUUCUUAUGCUUCGACGUCGUUUCUUCAAGCAUAAGUGAUAUCAUAUUGAACGAAUAAGCUCCCGUUAUUGUUUUGAAUAAAUCACCAGAUUUGUAUCGUAAUUAUGGACCCUUAGCAAAAUGAAUCGUCGAAUUUAGACAUCGUAUGAGGAUAUGAUCGUUUUACCAAGGUUGCCAAGAUUUUCAAGUUAAUGACGAAAUUGCCCCUGACGGCGUAUUAAAAACCUGCAAUAGUUGCAAAUCUUAAAACCUACAUAUCUCCUUCAUUAUAAGGUUAAAUUGAGUGAUUCAAAAGCCUAAGUUCAUUAUAAUUUCACAAGGAAUCCAAUGGGAGCAGUAAAACGUGUGAACAAUAUACCUAUAAUGAGCAGGUCGAGUUUUCUUUCAAUUAUUGAACGAGAAGAAGCUUCCGAAGCAGUUUUUUAGAGAGAAAAUCAGUGGGUAUCGCAAAGGUAAGUUAUUUGAUUAUUAAAACGCAUUUAUAGGUGAUUAUAAACCAUUAUCCCAGCCUUUUAUUCUAGAAAAAAGUAGAAAAAAAGGAUUUUGGGGCCUGAGAUUAUGAGACCUUUAGGGGUCUAUUUGAGGGGUCAAAUGGACUUCGAUUUUGGUGUCCUUUAUAUGUACGAAAUGAGGAGAAGAUGAAGAACACUUUUCUGUAAAAAUUUCUGAGUUUCGAGAGUUGAACCCGGGGCUCAGGUUUUGUCAAUUUCGGGAUUAUUGGUGCUUUUCUACUAUUUUCGAUUGGGUAUUGAUCCUAUAGCGUAAUGUGAUGUAUUCGUAAUGGUUUUGGCUAGAUUUGAUGCGCGAGGAGGUUCAUUCGAGAGGAAAGGGCAUCGCGGGCUAGUCUACGGCCGGUUAGAGGUGAGUAGUUUGUAUAGAUGAUGGCCUGAGGGUUUGAAACCCCGGUUAAUCACAUCGUGAUGCUAUGUUAGGGCGUGAGUCGCACCCCAUAGCAGGUGAGGGAUGGUAUAUGAUUGGGGAUUGUGAUUUGGUCCAUCCCGAGAGUUGAAUAAAAUUAUUGGCGGUUGGUACGCACAUUGUGUUGUCGAUAAUUGGGCUUAAUGCUAUGUUUGGGGCCUUGUGCCGAUCUGUAGCAUCUGUCUAGGAUGAAUAUCAUUAUGAUUGUAUGAUUUGCAAAAUCAUUAAUCUCAUUCCUGUGUAUAAUUGACGUUAUUAAAUGCAAAGUCACCUUUUUUCUGAUAUAAAUUAACUAAAUUAUAUUCACCUUUAUAAUUGGAAAAAUGGAAAAUUAGAUUGAAUCUGUUAUGUGACUCAUAUGCAUACUGUGGACUGAGCAUGGGUUGGGCUGCACGCCGCAGCGGUGAUAUGAUAAUAUUGCGCUUGGGCUGAAGGAGCCCCUCCAGAGUCUGUACACACCCCCAGUGAGCGCAUGGGUCGGGCUUCACACCGCAGCGGUGAUAUAAUGAUAUUGCGCUUUGGCUGAAGGAGCCCCUCCGGAGUCUGUACACACCCCAGUGAGAGUCGUCGACGUUAAACGGAUCGGGCUGCACACCACAGCGGUUUCAUGUGCACUGCUUGCAUCUUUAUCUGAUACUUGACUGUUAUAUUUGAUAUUGCUUUGCCGUAAGUUUGUAGCUAAGGUAUAGGUCUGUUAGUUUUAGCUUAGCUUUGUGGAAUUUCAUGGAUUUCUUACUUUCAGAUAUUAUAUAUGCUUAUUACUCACUGAGUCGGUAGUACUCACCCCUACUCCCUCCACCUUGUGUGCAUAUUGAUACAAAAGUUCUUUUAUUAUGAGUCGGUAGUACUCACCCCUACUCCCUCCACCUUGUGUGCAGAUUCAGGUACACCGGAGGCUUAGCUGAGCACUCGUAGUCUCCAGAUAUUCUUCAGAGUCGUUGAGGUAGCUGUUUGACAUUCGCAGGACCUGGAUGCUCUUCAUAUUUUAGUUUAUUACUAUUAUAGACAUUUCCAAACUUUUACAUUUUCGUUCAGCUGUUAUUAUCCAGUUUUGUUUAGAGGCUGUAGGCUCAUGACCCAG
rnacentral:lncRNA from 1 species